rnacentral:antisense_RNA from 1 species
ACUAGAAAUACAAAAAUUAGCUGGGUGUGGUGGCACAUGCCUGUAGCUCCAG